GGGUUGUGAGGUUAAGCGACUAAGCGUACACGGUGGAUGCCCUGGCAGUCAGAGGCGAUGAAGGGCGUGCUAAUCUGCGAUAAGCGCCGGUAAGGUGAUAUGAACCGUUAUAACCGGCGAUACCCGAAUGGGGAAACCCAGUGUGAUUCGUCACACUAUCAUUAACUGAAUCCAUAGGUUAAUGAGGCGAACCGGGGGAACUGAAACAUCUAAGUACCCCGAGGAAAAGAAAUCAACCGAGAUUCCCCCAGUAGCGGCGAGCGAACGGGGAGGAGCCCAGAGCCUGAAUCAGCAUGUGUGUUAGUGGAAGCGUCUGGAAAGGCGCGCGAUACAGGGUGACAGCCCCGUACACAAAAGCGCAUGUGCUGUGAGCUCGAUGAGUAGGGCGGGACACGUGGUAUCCUGUCUGAAUAUGGGGGGACCAUCCUCCAAGGCUAAAUACUCCUGACUGACCGAUAGUGAACCAGUACCGUGAGGGAAAGGCGAAAAGAACCCCGGCGAGGGGAGUGAAAAAGAACCUGAAACCGUGUACGUACAAGCAGUGGGAGCA
rnacentral:rRNA from 1 species